rnacentral:rRNA from 1 species
UGAGGCGAACCGGGGGAACUGAAACAUCUAAGUACCCCGAGGAAAAGAAAUCAACCGAGAUUCCCCCAGUAGCGGCGAGCGAACGGGGAGGAGCCCAGAGCCUGAAUCAGCAUGUGUGUUAGUGGAAGCGUCUGGAAAGGCGCGCGAUACAGGGUGACAGCCCCGUACACAAAAGCGCAUGUGCUGUGAGCUCGAUGAGUAGGGCGGGACACGUGGUAUCCUGUCUGAAUAUGGGGGGACCAUCCUCCAAGGCUAAAUACUCCUGACUGACCGAUAGUGAACCAGUACCGUGAGGGAAAGGCGAAAAGAACCCCGGCGAGGGGAGUGAAAAAGAACCUGAAACCGUGUACGUACAAGCAGUGGGAGCACAGGUUUACCUGUGUGACUGCGUACCUUUUGUAUAAUGGGUCAGCGACUUAUAUUCUGUAGCAAGGUUAACCGAAUAGGGGAGCCGGAGGGAAACCGAGUCUUAAUUGGGCGUUAAGUUGCAGGGUAUAGACCCGAAACCCGGUGAUCUAGCCAUGGGCAGGUUGAAGGUUGGGUAACACUAACUGGAGGACCGAACCGACUAAUGUUGAAAAAUUAGCGGAUGACCUGUGGCUGGGGGUGAAAGGCCAAUCAAACCGGGAGAUAGCUGGUUCUCCCCGAAAGCUAUUUAGGUAGCGCCUCGUGAAUUCAUCUCCGGGGGUAGAGCACUGUUUCGGCUAGGGGGCCAUCCCGGCUUACCAACCCGAUGCAAACUGCGAAUACCGGAGAAUGUUAUCACGGGAGACACACGGCGGGUGCUAACGUCCGUCGUGAAGAGGGAAACAACCCAGACCGCCAGCUAAGGUCCCAAAGUCAUGGUUAAGUGGGAAACGAUGUGGGAAGGCCCAGACAGCCAGGAUG